UUAAAAAUUCGUUUGAAUAAUGGCUUUUUUGAAGCAAAACGCAAUUAAUAAAACAAUAAAAAAAAUAUUUACUUGCAUGGGAAUAAAUAACAAUACACUUUUCUGCCCUUUUUUUUAAUAAAAAUGUAAAUCAGUGCUUUGAAAUCACAUUGUGCCUGGUUAAUAUAUAUCAUGACAUACUAUAUGGUUUUGCUCAGCUUUCAUUAAUAAAUCUCUGUUUUGCGUGUCAGUGGCGAUGUCAUAAGACAUUUAAAAGUUUGCAAAAAUUUGUACAAUAAACAAAACAAGCUAUAAACACGUACAAUAUAUAUCGUUUUGACAGUUCUCGCAUUAAGCAAGCGUUUGCAAUUUAAUCGUUGCUUAAUAAUAGUAAGCGGAUUUAAAAUUUCUUGUGCAUAAGCAGAAAAAGUGCUACAAAAUAAACAUAACAAUUUUGACACAUAGAAUAUCAAAAUUUAGGAAGAAAAAAAAAAAAAACUAGCAAAACUAAAGAAAGAUAGCAUAAAAGAUUUUGUUCCGGUUAAUUAAUAAUUGUCGGCAGUUCUCUUCCAAUUAGUUGUCAUUUUUAUUAUGAUCUAUGUCUGAUGUUCUUAAUAAAAAUUGAAUUGCAUUGAAAGAGCAUAAAUAGCGACGAGCGAACCGUUUAAGCAUAAUUAAAAGCGCAACGCCAUUUAAUAUUAAUAUGAAGCAAUGUAAUCGAAAUGGGCAAAUAAUCUGAUCGAUGUGCCCGAUCGUUUGUUUCUUGCCAGCCAUUUUAAGGUGGCUCGUUUUUACCCCCAAAAUAUUUGUCAAGUAUCAAAAUAUACGGACGAAUAAUAUUCUCUAGAAUUUUCUGCUAUUCGGAAAAUUCUGGACAAUCGCAUUCUGAAACGAA